rnacentral:rRNA from 1 species
AUAGAUACCCAGGUAGUCCAUGCCGUAAACGUUGGGCACUAGGUGUGGGGCUCAUUCCACGAGUUCCGUGCCGCAGCAAACGCAUUAAGUGCCCCGCCUGGGGAGUACGGCCGCAAGGCUAAAACUCAAAGGAAUUGACGGGGGCCCGCACAAGCGGCGGAGCAUGCGGAUUAGUUCGAUGCAACGCGAAGAACCUUACCAAGGCUUGACAUGCACGGGUAAGCCACCAGAGAUGGUGGUCUCUUUGGACACUCGUGCACAGGUGGUGCAUGGUUGUCGUCAGCUCGUGUCGUGAGAUGUUGGGUUAAGUCCCGCAACGAGCGCAACCCUCGUCCCAUGUUGCCAGCGGGUUAUGCCGGGGUACUCAUGGGAGACUGCCGGGGGUUCAACUCGGAGGAAGGUGGGGAUGACGUCAAAUCAUCAUGCCCCGUUAUGUCUUGGGCUUCACGCAUGCUACAAUGGCCGGUACAAAGGGCUGCGAUGCCGUAAGGUGGAGCGAAUCCCAAAAGCCGGUCUCAGUUCGAGUU